UGGGGAAUAUUGCACAAUGGGCGAAAGCCUGAUGCAGCAACGCCGCGUGAGGGACGACGGCCUUCGGUUGUAAACCUCUUUUAGCAAGGAAGAAGCGAAAGUGACGGUACUUGCAGAAAAAGCGACCGGCUAACUACGUGCCAGCAGCCGCGGUAAUACGUAGGGCGCAAGCGUUAUCCGGAAUUAUUGGGCGUAAAGAGCUCGUAGGCGGUUUGUCGCGUCUGCUGUGAAAACCCGAGGCUCAACCUCGGGCCUGCAGUGGGUACGGGCAGACUAGAGUGCGGUAGGGGAGAUUGGAACUCCUGGUGUAGCGGUGGAAUGCGCAGAUAUCAGGAAGAACACCGAUGGCGAAGGCAGAUCUCUGGGCCGUAACUGACGCUGAGGAGCGAAAGGGUGGGGAGCAAACAGGCUUAGAUACCCUGGUAGUCCACCCGUAAACGUUGGGAACUAGUUGUGGGGUCCAUUCCACGGAUUCCGUGACGCAGCUAACGCAUUAAGUUCCCCGCCU
rnacentral:rRNA from 1 species